GGCGGCCCUGCUCCUCUCACUGCUGUGGCUGAUGGAGGAGGAGCAUGUCUCUGUACCAUGCUCGGAGCAUGGUACAGAGACAUGCUCCUCCUCCAUCAGCCACAGGAGCAUGUCUCU
rnacentral:miRNA from 1 species